AGCUGUGCUGCCAAAUAGUCCUGGCUGAGUGGCCUUCCUCUGGUGUGUGGCUGCCUUGUCAGGGCCGCUACACUCUUAGAGGAAACUGACCCUUCCUUCCUUCCCCACAACUAACAAAAGACAAUACAAGUUUCUGUCUGACACCAAAAGUUUGUGUAACGUGAAGUAAAUCUGCCUAGUUUUAGAAUUCCACGUUAUUUAUGGACAUUUUUCCUGUGCGGUAAUUUGUUCUGUAAUGAAGUGCCUGGGGGAAUAGGGUUAUAGUUUUUCACCCCCACCUCUUUUGAGGUGCCCUGGUUUCUGGGAACGAUUGCUUAGUCUGCUUUUUUUCCUCCCUAAGUUGUGUAGACUUAGAAACUGGAUCCCCAUUCUUACCAUGAACUAUUUGAAAUGAUAAGAAAUGUGUUUUGGUCUCCAGUGUGAGAGUGGUGGCAGUAAGGACACAUUACCUCCCUUUUUACUAACACUGCUUUGUUGCUCUGGGCUGCAGUGUUUCACACAUCUUGCCACGGAGAAUCCCAACAGCACUCUUGGUGCAGUUGCCUUAUUUUAUGUUGGGUAAACUGAGGCACAGUGAAGCUACAGCAUUACCUAUCUGUGGGCUUGAAUUAGUUGUGUCCAUGUAUGCACCGUAUGAGCUUACCCAAUAGGACAUCAUUCUUAGGAACUUUGUGUUAUCUGUUGUUUUAACAAAGAAAUUCACAUUCUUUUUACAAAGAGAGUUUUUUUUUUUUUUUAAAUUCAUUUUUUCAUGUAUAACCUAGCAGUUCUUGUUGGAAAUCUCAAGCUCUGCUUGAUAAAUUCUGUCAGUCUGGUUACAUACAGUGUGCUAGCGGCUGUCUAAGGCGCCAGUUCCUAUUGUUUGUUUGUGAGGUGUUUUUGCUUUUUUUUCCCUUUUCUUGACACAAAGUCUCACUGAGCUGGUAUCAAACUUAGGGCGUUUCUUUCACCUCUGUUUUUGAGUGCUGGAGUUAGAGGCAUGUAUCACCAGACUUAGUAUCUCUGUCUUCAUGAAGCUUAUUCUCUUGGGAGCGUAGGUGGAGAAAAAGUACUCAGAAAUAAAUGCAUACUUAAAAUGUUAGCAUGCACAGUACAGAUAGACAUCUGUGCAUAGAAGUGUGCUAGAUUCUAGGAAAUUGAUGUUGCACUAAUCUCAGACAUAUGAAAUAAUAUUCCCCCUUGGGGUGUAUUAUGAAUGUUUUCCUCUUUAUUUCACUGUGUUUUAAAUUUAUUUAUUUUAAUGAGUACACUGUAGCUGUCUUCAGACACACACCAGAAGGCAGCACCGCUUGCACACUGACCCGGAAGUUCCUCACUUUUGUAUGUCUCCUGUGCAUGUCUUCUUUUCCUUGUUUUUUUUUUUUUCUUUCCCAAACCUCAAGAUGAUAGAAGUAGUUUUUAGGGUACAUUUUAUGUUCCACGCUGUGACUUUAAAAACAUGCCAAUCAAGCGUCCUCUCUUUUCUUCUCCAUCCCUACCUGGGGGGGGGGGGGAAUAAAUACAAGUUACAUAGCUUAUU
rnacentral:lncRNA from 1 species